GGCGCUGUAGCUCAGAGGUAGAGCAGCGGCUUCAUAAGCCGCGUGUCGUAGGUUCGAGUCCUACCAGCGCUA
rnacentral:tRNA from 1 species